rnacentral:rRNA from 1 species
CAGCAGCCGCGGUAAUACGUAGGGUGCAAGCGUUAAUCGGAAUUACUGGGCGUAAAGCGUGCGCAGGCGGUUUUGUAAGACAGAGGUGAAAUCCCCGGGCUCAACCUGGGAACUGCCUUUGUGACUGCAAGGCUAGAGUACGGCAGAGGGGGAUGGAAUUCCGCGUGUAGCAGUGAAAUGCGUAGAUAUGCGGAGGAACACCGAUGGCGAAGGCAACCCCCUGGGCCUGUACUGACGCUCAUGCACGAAAGCGUGGGGAGCAAACAGGAUUAGAUACCCCGGUAGUCCCUGUCUCUUAUAC